rfam:Thalassospira alkalitolerans strain JCM 18968 contig1, whole genome shotgun sequence.
AGAGGCUGGCCGUGGACGGACCGCUCGCCAACCCGGUCAGGACCGGAAGGUAGCAGCCGUAACGAGUUUUUCCGGGUCGCGGUUCAGUCUCUCAC